ACAAAAACUCCACACCUCAAACUAAAAAACUUCGCUUUCUACCAAAAAGAAAAAACUAAAAAACUUUCAUUGCCCACGAAACACACAAGAAACGAAAAAAAUUCCACACUCACACUAAAUACUUCGCAUGUCCACGAAACACACAAGAUUCAACAAAAACUCCACAUACCAAAAACUUCCAUGCCACGGAACACACUAUAAAAUAUCCAUAUAAACAAACAAAACCCAACAAAUUCACAAUCACCUGAAAAUAUGUGAGUGAUCUAUCAGGGAAUUCACAAUCACUGUAGGCCAUUUUUACCAAAUACGUGAGUGAUCUAUCAGGGAAUUCAAUUAGAUGAUCUGAAGUAUCUCGGUGAAAAAAAUAAGCUUAUGAGAGGUUGCACUUUGGCUGCUAUUGAUAUGUGGCUUGAGCUUUGGUUAUGUGCGUCUUGACAAAAUGCCUGCUAACAGAUGGAAAAAUGGAAGUAAAAGAACAUAAAGAGCGUUUUCAUUGGCUGACACAACAUCUUCCUGGAUUAUUGACAUUGUGGAUGCUAUACCUUUACUGAAACCUGCAAGCAACUCGCAAUGGUUUGAAUCCGAUGAUGUACAAAAACCAGUCGAAGGAUGCAUUUCAGAGAUCUUACAAGUCUGUGGACAAGAAACAGUAGGAAGGAAUCCUUGGUUGACAAAACAGCUUGUUGCAUUAAGUGACUUUAUGGAUUGUAUACAUUUAUGAACCUUACAAGCAAAUCGUUCAAAUGGUUAGAUGUGCAAAAAACUGCUGACGGAUGAUACAUUUUUGAGAUCUUCAGAGUCAGUGGACAAGGAACGAACUAUUUCAAUCAUCAAAAGCUUUAGCGGGGCUUGUGUUGAAAGCUGUUUCAAAGAUUUCAAAAUCGACUUCUAGUGUUACCUUGAAGCAAGGAAACAUAUCAAGCUCCAACACUUCAAGAUACAAAGGAUCCAAAGUUGAAGUAUGGAAUCGUAUUAACACAACUCAUAAGAUAAGUUAUUAUGUUCCUCAUGUCUCUUUUUCAUAAAGAAUGAAGUAAUUUUCUCUUUAUUUGCUCUCAUAUUUGAUAUUUCUCUUGCUUCAUGCAUAUGCACAGGUCUUUGAGUUGCAAAUGUCGAACAAAUAAAGCGUCAAGUGGUAAAAAUCUCUCUCUUCUCACAAUACAAAAGUUAAUACAAACAUAAAAAACAUAAAACUAAUUACUUCACAAACA